GAAGUGAAAGAAAAAGAGGCGUUAUUGUUUUUUACUUUAUUCAGUAUAAAGUGCGUUUUACUCUUCUAUAUCUUGUAGCUCACAAAUCGUCUUUACUAACCCUACAAAUUCUCUUCCGGCAAGUUUUCAGGUUCCUCCGAAUCGCUCCGACGCCUUUGAUGUUCACAUCUUCCGGACGAGAGUCAUCUGUGACAGGAUAAUGGAAGAUCGAGUUAUCAAAGGCUUAUUGGGCGUUUCCUUGAGUUCGUAUCAUAUUCUACAAGAUUAAUGCAAAACCGAAGAAGUAGAGCAGGUAGACAUUUCAUUACCAUUAUUCUGCUACAUAUUGGAUUGAGAAUUAUUUGCUUCCGCUUUUGAGCCUAUGCUAUUGAAUUUGAUAUUAUGCUAAACACAUUGUGGGUGAGUGCUGUUGGUAAAAAUGUAUGUGGCAGAUGUGCUGGAUUCCAAUUUAUGGGAGAAAAUGCAAAUAUAUAGCAGUGGUCAACUAUGUGUUGGAGUUGAAGCAGUUAUGUGGUUUGUCAAUGCCGAUGACGAGAGUCAUCUGUGACAGGAUAGUGGAAGAUCUAGUUAUCAAAGGCUUAUUCGGGCGUUUUUUCUCAUGUUCAGUUCGUAGCAAAAUCUCCAACUUUUGCAGAGUAGCACAGGUAGACAUUUCAUCACCAUUACUCUAUUAGAUAUUGAAUUGAGUAUUAUUUGCUUCCUCUUUUGAGCGUAUGCUAUAGAAUUUGAUUUUAUGUUAACACAAGUUACUAUUUCUGUGUGUGUGGUGUUGAAAUUUGUCUGUAAAACUAGGCUUUUUAUUUAAUCAAUAUUAAGAAGAUGUGGUAUGUGGAGAUGUGUAGGACGAGAAAAUGGAAACAUAUAGCAGUGUUCAACUUUUUGCAGGCCUAGAUGUGUUGAAGUUUCAGCAGUUUUGUGGUUUGUCAAUAGUCUUUGUUUUAUUAAAGAUGUACUAUUCUUUGCAUUUGAGGUAUGUUCUAACAAUUUUGGGCCUUGUCAUGUAUGUUUGAAUCCCUGAGUGUGUGCGUGUUUGUGUAUAUAUACCUACACAUAUACAUACACAGAAAAAUUUGACUACAGUUGUAGGUGGGUGGAUUUAAGAUAGUAAUAUACGUUGACGAAUUGGUGUUAUAAUUGCCUCAUAUUUCCAUAAUAGAAUUUGUUAUAAGAAUAUUAUGGUAUCCUGACAGUCGUCUUGUAAGUUAAUUUUUUUUAUAUAGGUUUUGUUAGGACAAUUGCACAAAGUUAUUAGGCAUCUCCUAAAAAAAACUUGUUAUGAUUCCUACUGGGUCAAUUGAUGAUUAGCAUAGAUCUUUGAUAUUUGUCAUUAACCUUUGGUACUCUUGUAGGAUGCCAGAUUCACUAACUGCUUCACUGUGAUCUAUGUUUACCAUGGAUAACGUAAUUAUCAGAUGUAUUAGAAUCUUUAUCUCCAAAAAGAAGAGGAAGUUAUAAAAUCAAAAUAUCUUGCCUUCCAUCCGGAUCCAGCUUGCGCUCCUCACGGGUAACUCUAUCCACUAAUCUUAUAGCUCAUGGUCUCAACCUACUUCAAUCCUUAAGCCAUACCCUUGGGUACCCUUCCAUACCCUUUUUCACGAGCCAAUGCAUCCUAUCCAGCUGCUGCUAGCAACGCAUGUCAUUUUGGCCGAAUGUGAAGUUAAUUAUCCAUCAUUUGGUAUUCUAAAUUUAGGGAGAGCUUGACAGUUCUCUUCUGUAUUAUUUUCAUUGCACCAAGGGUACGCUAGCUUCUCUCUUUAAGUCCAGGUUUUUCUAACUUUGUGGUGUGAUUUAUCAUAUUCUACUUGUUUUUGAUGGCCAGUAAA